rnacentral:lncRNA from 1 species
CAGACCUUGAUAUGGAACUACCACCCUCUUCUUUCCCCAUCCUCUGUCCAUAGAGCUGAGCUGAACAGAGUUACUUCCACAUUUUCUUGAAAUCUCUAAAUCCCGCUACUUUCAGGGACAUUUGUUGAGGAAAGCAAAGUUGACAAGCUAGGAUUUCUUUCAAAUAAACUGAGCUGAUGACUGUAGCAGGUGAGUUUUUUUUUCCCAUAGCGAUAAUUUUACAUUCUUUUCCUGCUUCUGAGAGGAGGAAAACGUUGCCAUCUUAUUUGACAGAUGCUCAGUAGUGUUUCAUCUUUAAAAAGAGAGAAUAUUUGUUAUUGCCAUCUAUGUAAUGAAAGAGUACUUAAAAAGAGCAGUCUUUUUUUUUUUUUUUUUUUAAGAGACAGGGUCUCUCUAUGUUGCCCAGGCUGGAGUGCAGUGACUAUUCACAGGUGCAAUCAGAGCUCAUCAUAGUCUCCAAACUCCUGCUCUCAAGUGAUCUUCCUGCCUCAGCUUACGUAGUAGUGGAGACAGCAGGGAAAACCUUGGCAUCCAGUGAUGAUGAAUCAAUGCUGCUGACAGAUGCAUCGUGUUGGGAUCCCAAUCAUCUAAUUCUUCCAUCAACAGAAAUGACAGGUGCCUAUGUUAAAAAGGGAAGCUGUGAGCAUAAACCUUCAAAGACCUACAGGUAAAAUGUACCCUGCAUUGAAAAUGUUUCUCUAAAUAAACAUUUUAUAAUAUUAAAAUUUUAUAUUAGAGUUUUUG